rnacentral:rRNA from 1 species
AAUGAACGCUGGCGGCGCGCCUAAUACAUGCAAGUCGAGCGAGAAGACGUAGCAAUACGUUUGUAAAGCGGCGAACGGGUGAGGAAUACAUGGGUAACCUACCCUCGAGUGGGGAAUAACUAGCCGAAAGGUUAGCUAAUACCGCGUACGCUCCUUGGACUUCGGUUCAGGGAGGAAAGCGAUACCGUGGGUAUCGCGCUCUUGGAUGGGCUCAUGUCCUAUCAGCUUGUUGGUGAGGUAACGGCUCACCAAGGCUUCGACGGGUAGCUGGUCUGAGAGGACGAUCAGCCACACUGGCACUGCGACACGGGCCAGACUCCUACGGGAGGCAGCAGUAAGGAAUAUUGCGCAAUGGGCGAAAGCCUGACGCAGCGACGCCGCGUGGGGGAUGAAGGUCUUCGGAUUGUAAACCCCUUUCGGGAGGGAAGAUGGAACGAGCAAUCGUUCGGACGGUACCUCCAGAAGCAGCCACGGCUAACUUCGUGCCAGCCGCCGCGGUAAC